rnacentral:rRNA from 1 species
GACGAACGCUGGCGGCGUGCUUAACACAUGCAAGUCGAACGCUGAAGCUUGGUGCUUGCCCUGGGUGGCUGAGUGGCGAACGGGUGGGUAAUACGUGAGUAACCUGCCCUUGACUCUGGGAUAAGCCUGGGAAACUGGGUCUAAUACUGGAUACGACAUGUCACCGCAUGGUGGUGUGUGGAAAGGGUUUUACUGGUUUUGGAUGGGCUCACGGCCUAUCAGCUUGUUGGUGGGGUAAUGGCUCACCAAGGCGACGACGGGUAGCCGGCCUGAGAGGGUGACCGGCCACACUGGGACUGAGACACGGCCCAGACUCCUACGGGAGGCAGCAGUGGGGAAUAUUGCACAAUGGGCGGAAGCCUGAUGCAGCGACGCCGCGUGAGGGAUGACGGCCUUCGGGUUGUAAACCUCUUUCAGCACGGAAGAAGCGAAAGUGACGGUACGUGCAGAAGAAGCGCCGGCUAACUACGUG